GAUGAACGCUGGCGGCGUGCCUAAUACAUGCAAGUCGGGCGAACGGACGAGAAGCUUGCUUCUCUGAUGUUAGCGGCGGACGGGUGAGUAACACGUGGAUAACCUACCUAUAAGACUGGGAUAACUUCGGGAAACCGGAGCUAAUACCGGAUAAUAUUUUGAACCGCAUGGUUCAAAAGUGAAAGACGGUCUUGCUGUCACUUAUAGAUGGAUCCGCGCUGCAUUAGCUAGUUGGUAAGGUAACGGCUUACCAAGGCAACGAUGCAUAGCCGACCUGAGAGGGUGAUCGGCCACACUGGAACUGAGACACGGUCCAGACUCCUACGGGAGGCAGCAGUAGGGAAUCUUCCGCAAAGGGCGAAAGCCUGACGGAGCAACGCCGCGUGAGUGAUGAAGAUCUUCGGAUCGUAAAACUCUGUUAUUAGGGAAGAACAUAUGUGUAAGUAACUGUGCACAUCUUGACGGUACCUAAUCAGAAAGCCACGGCUAACUACGUG
rnacentral:rRNA from 1 species